GAUGAAGAACGUAGCGAAAUGCGAUAAGUAAUGUGAAUUGCAGAAUUCAGUGAAUCAUCGAAUCUUUGAACGCACAUUGCGCCCUGUGGUAUUCCGCAGGGCAUGCCUGUUCGAGCGUCAUUUCAACCCUCAAGCUCUGCUUGGUGUUGGGCCCUGCCCGCUGCGGCCGGCCCUAAAGACAGUGGCGGUGCCGCCUGGCCCUGAGCGUAGUACAUCUCUCGCUCCAGUGCCCGGUGGUAGCCUGCCAGAACCCCAACUCUCGUGGUUGACCUCGGAUCAGGUAGGGAUACCCGCUGAACUUAAGCAUAUCAAUAAGCGGAGGA
rnacentral:misc_RNA from 1 species